rnacentral:rRNA from 1 species
CGGUUAAGGAAGGAAGGGCGCACGGUGGAUGCCUUGGCACUAGGAGCCGAAGAAGGACGCGGCAAACGGCGAAACGCCUCGGGGAGCCGUAAGCAGGCGUAGAUCCGGGGAUUUCCGAAUGGGGGAACCCACCGUCCGUAAUGGGGCGGUAUCCAUGUCUGAAUCCAUAGGGCAUGGAGGGCAACCCGGGGAACUGAAACAUCUUAGUACCCGGAGGAGAAGAAAGCAACAGCGAUUCCCUGAGUAGCGGCGAGCGAAAGGGGAACAGCCCAAACCAAAGGGCUUUGCCCUUUGGGGUUGUAGGACACUCCAGAUGGAGUUACAAAAGAGCGGGGUAGGCGAAGCGGCCUGGAACGGCCCGUCGGAGAAGGUAAGAACCCUGUAGCCGAAACCCCGUUCUCUCCGGAGUGGAUCCUGAGUACGGCGGGACACGAGGAAUCCCGUCGGAAGCGGGGAGGACCAUCUCCCAAGGCUAAAUACUCCCUAGUGACCGAUAGUGAACCAGUACCGUGAGGGAAAGGUGAAAAGCACCCCGGGAGGGGAGUGAAAGAGAACCUGAAACCGUGUGCCUACAAGUAGUCAGAG